AUAAUGGGUCAGCGACUUAUAUUCUGUAGCAAGGUUAACCGUAUAGGGGAGCCGGAGGGAAACCGAGUCUUAACCGGGCGUUAAGUUGCAGGGUAUAGACCCGAAACCCGGUGAUCUAGCCAUGGGCAGGUUGAAGGUUGGGUAACACUAACUGGAGGACCGAACCGACUAAUGUUGAAAAAUUAGCGGAUGACCUGUGGCUGGGGGUGAAAGGCCAAUCAAACCGGGAGAUAGCUGGUUCUCCCCGAAAGCUAUUUAGGUAGCGCCUCGUGAAUUCAUCUCCGGGGGUAGAGCACUGUUUCGGCUAGGGGGCCAUCCCGGCUUACCAACCCGAUGCAAACUGCGAAUACCGGAGAAUGUUAUCACGGGAGACACACGGCGGGUGCUAACGUCCGUCGUGAAGAGGGAAACAACCCAGACCGCCAGCUAAGGUCCCAAAGUCAUGGUUAAGUGGGAAACGAUGUGGGAAGGCCCAGACAGCCAGGAUGUUGGCUUAGAAGCAGCCAUCAUUUAAAGAAAGCGUAAUAGCUCACUGGUCGAGUCGGCCUGCGCGGAAGAUGUAACGGGGCUAAACCAUGCACCGAAGCUGCGGCAGCGACGCUGAUGCGUUGUUGGGUAGGGGAGCGUUCUGUAAGCCUGCGAAGGUGGCCUGUGAGGGUUGCUGGAGGUAUCAGAAGUGCGAAUGCUGACAUAAGUAACGAUAAAGCGGGUGAAAAGCCCGCUCGCCGGAAGACCAAGGGUUCCUGUCCAACGUUAAUCGGGGCAGGGUGAGUCGACCCCUAAGGCGAGGCCGAAAGGCGUAGUCGAUGGGAAACGGGUUAAUAUUCCCGUACUUGGUGUUACUGCGAAGGGGGGACGGAGAAGGCUAUGUUGGCCGGGCGACGGUUGUCCCGGUUUAAGCGUGUAGGUGUGUGUUCCAGGUAAAUCCGGUU
rnacentral:rRNA from 1 species